GACGAACGCUGGCGGCGUGCUUAACACAUGCAAGUCGAACGGUAAGGCCCUUUUGGGGGUACACGCGCGGCGAACGGGUGGGUAACACGCGAGUAACCUGCCCUCAUCUCUGGGUUAAAAGUCGGCAACGGUUGCUAACACUGGAUAUGAGCUUGCUAGGCAUCUUGUGGGUGGGAUAGAUUUUUUUGGCUGGGGAAUGUAUCGUCGCCUAUUAGCUUCUUGGUGGGGUAGUGGUUCACCAACGCUUCUACGGGGAGCCGGCCUGAGAGGGGGACCGGCCACAUUGGGGCUGGGGUACGGCCCAAGCUCCUACGGGAGGCAGCAGGUGGGAAUAAUGGACAAUGGGCGGGAGUCUGAUGCAGCAACGGCGGGUGCGGGAUGACGGGCUUCGGGGUGGAAACCGCUUUCAGUUUGGACGAAGCUGUGUGUGACGGUAGCGGUAAAAGAAGCACCGGCUAACUACGUG
rnacentral:rRNA from 1 species